UUCCUGCAGGCACAACUAACGUUUAAUGGUC
rnacentral:piRNA from 1 species